CUUGGAUUCUGGAUUCUCGCCCUCACCCUCUUUGGAUCUGUUCAGCCAUCUGCAUCUCUGUCUCAGUCUCUCGGACCCAAACAACGUUGUGACGUCAUUAUGUUCUGCCGGAACCCUCUGAGUUUCAACUUUGUGUCUCCACAAACCCAACACAGUCAAGUCAGAGAAACCAGAUCGUUGUGCUGCCCGAGAGAGAUUCAACACCAACAACUUGCUGUUUGCCAAUAAAAGCUUUAAACUUU